CUCAAAUGUAGUUAUCUAAUUAGUUGGUCGUGAAUUCGAGACAAAAUUUUAAAUUCAAUGGCGUUCUCGUGUAAGAUGCUCAUCGCAUUGCUAGAAUCAGCAAAGGAGCUGGUGUAGAACGCUAGUCCCAAACCAAUGAGCUUUGUGCUUGAGGGUGGAAGCAACUUUUUGAAGAGCAAAUACUACGGUGAGCACAUUCGGAUGUUGCAUAACCUAUUGUAAAUUGCGCUUAGAAUCCCGGUACUGCUGGUCAGGUUUAUCAGGCUGUUGGACCAAAGCGUUACCAGUUGAGCGAAUUAAUUGACUGGUUUCAUCGUGUUAUGCGCAAAGAUGAAAAAUGGUGGGGAUACCGUCAUUAAGACAUGUGUUGUGAUCCUACCUUCUUAUUGAAAGCCAAGUUCACGAAUGUAUUACCGAUGUCGUUCCCUACAACAUACCGAGGUUGAAGAAUUUUGGUGUAC